rnacentral:lncRNA from 1 species
UUAAGAACCGAUCUUAAUGAGUUUCUUACACUGUUCGCGGGCCCCACUAACACAUGGCGGCCCGCGAUUGGGUUGCUUCUUAAUUUUUUUUUUUUUUUUUAAACUAAGAAAUCCAUCGGGGGUUUCUAAGGAAUAAUCAUGCUAAGGUUGUGAUAGUUUCAACACCUCCCCCGACCUUAUCCUCUCCACAGCCUCUCGUUUACUUUUUAGAUCUGAGUUCAAACUCCGGCGACUGGACGGCGCUCACGCGUUCCGACACCGGAAAUCUUCGUCUUCUCUUUUUUUUUUUUAGUUAUGUCUUUGCUUCUCUUUGGUCUCAGCUAUUCUGUCGUCUUGCUUUCGGCACUGACAUGGUGUGUAUCUCCGGUUAAUCACCUGCUCGUGUGGAGCGACGAUUCCGGCGGUUACCUGCUUCACCUGGAGUCAAGGUACGGUGGUGUGGGCUGUUUCUUCAGGCGGAGUCGGCUUUGAAGGGCCAGCCUUUGACUGCUUCGAUGGGUGGUGUGAAAACGAAGCUCCUCUGUUUAUUCUGUGAUGUUCUGAUGGUGUAGAUCUGUAGCCUACCCUUGGUGUAGGCAUGUGAAACGUGGAAAAAUGUCAUUCCUCUGUCUUUGAUGAGGUACGGUUUUUUGAAACAGUGGAGCAUGGUCCUUUUCAAGCCUUGUUCCCAAUUGAGGCAGUCAUAAUUUUCUAGUUUUGGUCUCUAAGGAUGGUCUCGGUGUUGGUACCAGAACUUGGUUCCGGUGUUUUCUUUUUUUCUUAUGUAUGUUUAUCGGAUGUUAGCGUUUAGUGAUCUGUUAGUUGGAGCGCGUCUCAGUCUCGGUGGUUGGAAUUUGACAGUUCUGUUGCAGUCUUCUUUUCUUGGUAUCGAUUGGCGGGCCGAGGGCAGCAACGAUAUAUUCAGAUUACUGUCUUCUGCUAUUUAGGAGGAUGUUGCAAUGAAUCGUCUUAUGUUCUAUGAAUUGUCUUAUGUUCUUGAGUAGAUCGGUCUAAGUUUAUGUGUCUUAUUUGUGGUUUAUAGUUUCCUGUCCUGCUUGGUAUGUUCGUAAGCUACCCCGAUGUGGGUUUUAGUCGCCUUUCCUUGGGCUCUUGUGUUUGGGAUGUCCUAUUAUCCGCCAGUUGAUGUAUCCAAUGUUGUAUUCUUCCGUUGAAUGAAA